rnacentral:rRNA from 1 species
UACGAAGGGUGCAAGCGUUUAAUCGGAAUUACUGGGCGUAAAGAGCGCGCAGGCGGUCGUUCAAGUCGCGUGUGAAAGCCCCCGGCUCAACUGGGGAGGGUCACGCGAUACUGAUCGACUGGAAGGCAGGAGAGGGUAGUGGAAUUCCCGGUGUAGUGGUGAAAUGCGUAGAGAUCCGGAGGAACACCAGCGGCGAAGGCGGCGUCCUGGACUGGUACUGACGCUCAGGAGCGAAAGCGUGGGGAGCGAGUCCGG